AUGGCCACCUGCCUCUCUGAUCUUAUUAGUGACCAUGCCCUAGAUUUCCUGGGUCUGCAAGAGACCAUGAAAAAAUAUUUCUCUCCCAAAUGCUUGAGGAGAAUUGAUCCCUUUAACUUGUUCAAUUGGAACUGGAUUCCUUCUGAAGGAAAAUCUGGAGGUAUCCUGUGUGGAGUUAGACAGGACACUUUGGAGGUGGUCUCCUGCGUCAAGGGCAAGUAUAUCUUGCAGUUGGUGGUUUUGGAUAAGAAGAAGAAAACCAAUUGGGGGUUGUUGGUGGUAUAUGGCUCUGCUCAUGAAGAGCAUAAGGAGGAGUUCUUGCUUGAGCUUGCUACUAUGUGUAAUAACAUGCAAGUCCCUUAUAUAGUGGGUGGGGAUUUUAAUAUCCUCAGGCACCCUGGGGAGAAAAACAAAAAAAUGACUAGCCAUAAAUCCACAUACCUGUUUAAUUCUAUUAUUAACACCCUGGCUCUUAGAGAGAUUCAUAUCAGCGGGGGUAAAUACACUUGGACGAAGCUCACCCUACUUUGGAGAAGUUAG
rnacentral:rRNA from 1 species